rnacentral:lncRNA from 1 species
CAUAUUCAAAAAUCACGGAUUGAAUUGAAGAGAGGUGCCCACAUUCCACAUGGUCCAGCCCAAGCACGUGAAGGGCCCACGGUGACAGCAAGGGAACGUCUCAGCAGCAUAAAAAAAAUGAAGAAACGAUGCAGGAAGCAACUCCACUAUCCGGCCUUCACGGCCUGGUCCCGAUCUAGAAGGGUGCAGCAUCCAGCAUGUGUCCAAAAGGAGGGUGCACACAGAACAAGCACACACACGGUCCAACAUCUAGAAUUCAGCAGCACGUGAUUGAGAGGUGGAAUUCUUCAUCCAGCUAGGCCCAUGGAGUAGCGUUUACUUCUAGGUUGGAGGAUUCAGUUUUGAAAAUAUAUAUACAGCCACCACCUAGGGGGCAUUAUUAUUCUUUUACAGGAAGAAUAUAGGAAGAAACAGUGAUGAGAAAUGAGGGCACCGAGUCACACAGAUUUUGAGCCUCCUUGAAUGUUCAUGUUUUUAGUAUUUUUAAUAAUGAAAGAAGCACCUUUCUAUUUUUAAUUUAUUUUUGUGCAACGCUGGCAUCCAUCAAUUUCUUUUGUUGCUGAAUUUUUUUUCAUUCUCGCUUCUUUCACUUUUCUUUUGGUGCUUGUAUUCGUUGCACUGCUAGUAGAGAUUUGGAAGCUGCCGCUGCCAACUAGAAAGUGCACACACGACAUUCAAAGAGCUUUGGAGAAUUUAUUUUGGGGUUAGAUGGCGUACACGGAGGGGCUGAUUCACUCUGCUACAGCAGCCACCCCCUUAUAUAUUGAGUUUUAGUUAAAAACGAAGCAAGUGGUGCUUCAUUCAUUUAGGAGUGCAAUGCUUUUUUUUUCUAAUGCAAAAUUCGUUUUAAUUUCUUUGGGGAAAUGACGUUCAGGUAGAAAAUAGGAUAGGUGCACGGUGCUAGCAUUUUGAGGAAAAUAUUUUCUUUGCAUUUUUAGGUGAACAUGUGUCAUGGCCAGGUUAUGGUUGAAGGAACAUUCCCUUUAGUUUUCAUUCAAUAUGAGUUGUGAAGCACACGGUUUACGAGGCAACAUUUUCAUUCAUUUUCCUUGCAUGGAGAUUGUGCAUUGUUACGGCUUUCUUUCUUUAUUACUUUCAUUGGGUUUUGAGAUAAUUUAAUUUCAAGUUUCGUUGCAUUU